rnacentral:rRNA from 1 species
AUGCCUCGCCAGCAACAAACACCUGGCCACAGUCGGGCGCAGUCCGCGACUCAGGGGUUGGAGGCGUCCUCGUCUAGCCGACGAGCUGGUUAUGGUCGGGCGGGCAGCGCGUCGUGGCUGCUGCGUGAAGAGAUGGCUAACCAACAAAGGCAGGAGAUUCCAGCGACAGAUUUGAGGUCGGCGCCUCAUGAAGGCAUGCUCCUUGCCGGGAGAGGCAGGGGCAUCCUUUCUUGGUCUGCAGCUUUCACCUCUGUUGCUUCAGAUAGCGGCACAAGUGGAGCAGGCGGCUGCAAUGGAUUUUAUACUAUGAAAAGUAGCUUCCUGAUGAAUCAGAUGUACUUCUGUGUGGUGCUCCAGCUGAUUCGUCGCUUGUCAGCCUGUCAUGGAUAA